AGAGUUUGAUCAUGGCUCAGGAUGAACGCUGGCGGCGUGCCUAACACAUGCAAGUCGAGCGAAGAUUCAGAGGCGUACUUGUACAAAUCUAAAUCUUAGCGGCGGACGGGUGAGUAACACGUGAGUAACCUGCCCUUCAGUGGGGAAUAACAACGAGAAAUCGUUGCUAAUACCGCAUAACGUAUCAGAAUCGCAUGAUUCAGAUACCAAAGGAGUAAUUCGCUGAAGGAUGGACUCGCGUCCGAUUAGCUAGUUGGUGAGGUAAUGGCUCACCAAGGCAACGAUCGGUAGCCGAACUGAGAGGUUGAUCGGCCACAUUGGGACUGAGACACGGCCCAGACUCCUACGGGAGGCAGCAGUGGGGAAUAUUGGGCAAUGGGGGAAACCCUGACCCAGCAACGCCGCGUGAAGGAAGAAGGUCUUCGGAUUGUAAACUUCUUUGAUCAGGGACGAACAAAUGACGGUACCUGAGGAACAAGCCACGGCUAACUACGUGCCAGCAGCCGCGGUAAUACGUAGGUGGCAAGCGUUAUCCGGAUUUACUGGGUGUAAAGGGCGUGUAGGCGGUUUUGCAAGUCAGAUGUGAAAUCUCCGGGCUUAACCCGGAAACUGCAUCUGAAACUGCAGAACUUGAGUAUUGGAGAGGAUAGUGGAAUUCCUAGUGUAGCGGUAAAAUGCGUAGAUAUUAGGAGGAACACCAGUGGCGAAGGCGACUAUCUGGACAGUAACUGACGCUGAGGCGCGAAAGCGUGGGGAGCAAACAGGAUUAGAUACCC
rnacentral:rRNA from 1 species